rnacentral:tRNA from 1 species
GGGCCAUUAGCUCAGUUGGCUAGAGUGCUUCCAUGGCAUGGAAGAGGUCAAGGGUUCGAGUCCCUUAUGGUCCA